AACGAACGCUGGCGGCAUGCCUAACACAUGCAAGUCGAACGAGACCUUCGGGUCUAGUGGCGCACGGGUGCGUAACGCGUGGGAACCUGCCCUUAUGUUCGGAAUAACUCCCCGAAAGGGGUGCUAAUACCGGAUAAUGUCUUCGGACCAAUGAUUUAUCGCCUUUGGAUGGGCCCGCGUGGCAUUAGCUAGUUGGUAGGGUAAAAGCAUACCAAGGCGACGAUCCAUAGCUGGUUUGAGAGGAUGAUCAGCCACACUGGGACUGAGACACGGCCCAGACUCCUACGGGAGGCAGCAGUGGGGAAUAUUGGAAAAUGGGCGAAAGCCUGAUCCAGCAAUGCCGCGUGAGUGAUGAAGGCCUUAGGGUUGUAAAGCUCUUUUACCCGGGAUGAUAAUGACAGUACCGGGAGAAUAAGCUCCGGCUAACUCCGUG
rnacentral:rRNA from 1 species